rnacentral:lncRNA from 1 species
ACCCGUGACGGUCAUGAGAACUUCUCAAGAGCUUCGAGAGCCCCACACACACACACACACACACACAAAGAGCAGAAUCACAGCAGACGGAUCAGAUCAGGAGUUUGUUCAUCAUGUCUUACGGCGGAUCAGGUUCAGGAUCUCGAGGUGAAUUCAGCGUUCAUUUCUCCAGCAGAAGUGGAGCAGGACUCAUCAGAGCUGAAGAGGCUGCAGGGAUCGCUCUGCUGGCCGUGGUCCUCACCGCGCUGCUCAUCCUGGGCUGCUGGUAUUACCGCCGGAGGGGGGGUACAAGAUGAUCCGGGUGAGUCAUGUGACCGCAGGGUUACCCCCAUCUCAAACCGAGAGCAUCGGAGCAGAGAAAAGUGCCCUGCUGUAGGAGAUCAUGAUGCUUGCAACACCAAGGCCCUGGGUUUGAUUCCCAGGGAGUGCAUGAUGAUAUUCUCCUGAAAUGCAAUAUUUAUAACUUUGCAUAAAUGCAUCUGCAAAUAAAGGCAAAAGCAGCGUGUUUUAAUGAGAUGCUGUAUUUGUUGGUCUGGAUUGUCAAAGCUCCAGCUGUGAGGAUUUUAGGAUUCACUCAUGAGUUCAUCAUGUGCUUUCUGACCUCUGGUGUGUGUGUGUGUGUGUGUGUGUGUGUGUGUGUGUUCAGAGCGAGAGAAACA